CAGGAACGUGUCAAGGAAAGGUCCUCACACCCUAAGGAUACUUUUCGGUUCACAUCCACUGUGCAGUCCUUUUAGACUGUCAGGAGUAAAAUGAUACGUAAUAGGAAGUACAACUUCCUUUAGAGAUGGUGAAGAUACAACACAGAUGUCAAGCUCUGCCAAUAUGGGCCGGAAAGGGUCAUUGGCAGCUUUUAUAUCAUCUGGUGAUGCUCCAGAACUUGUUAAAGAUCUGCACCGGUUGCUGCAUCAGCUGCAGUUCUCAGUAUUACUGAUGACGAGAACAUCAACUCUGCUUCAAGUGAAGGACGUGGAAUUAUCGAGGUUGA